UACGAAGGGGGGCUAGCGUUGCUCGGAAUCACUGGGCGUAAAGCGCACGUAGGCGGAUUGUUAAGUCAGGGGUGAAAUCCUGGAGCUCAACUCCAGAACUGCCUUUGAUACUGAAGAUCUUGAGUUCGGGAGAGGUGAGUGGAACUGCGAGUGUAGAGGUGAAAUUCGUAGAUAUUCGCAAGAACACCAGUGGCGAAGGCGGCUCACUGGUCCAUUACUGACGCUGAGGUGCGAAAGCGUGGGGAGCAAACAGG
rnacentral:rRNA from 1 species